rnacentral:lncRNA from 1 species
AGAUAAAAAUAGGUAGGUAUUCAAACAUAAUCUGUAAAACGAUUAACAAUUUUUAGAAAACAUUAAGCCAUCUAUAAAUUCCUGAAAAUAAAUUAGCCGUGAUUUUCAGAAAAAAUGUUCUAAUCAUUUUUUCCCACAUGAUGUCCUUUCAGGAAACAGCACGGACAUUAGGCAUAACAAGUAAUUGUAAAAAUAUGAGCAAAAAUGAGAUGGUUUAAAAGAGUGAAAACUUUAAGGUUAGGAAAUUUCAAACUCAAAGGAAAACAGGAAAACUGAUUAAAAACUGAUAACUAAGUACUGUUAAGGUAAACUACUAAACACAUAAUACAAAAAACAAUUUAUCAUCUUUAAAACCAUAAGGCAUAGCCAUAGGGUAUAUGGUAUAUGAGAUAGGUAGACAGUACAAGGUAGGUACAAUAUGAUCGAAAAAAAAACGGCGUCAGCGAUGGCUAUGAAUAUAUGUAAUCUUUUAACGUCUUUUAUAUGUAAAAUUAUAUAGGGAAUGUCAUGGAUCGUCAUUUCCAAGCCAACUGGACGGCGGUUUUUUUGAUCAUAUGGGAUAUAAGUGUCAGUUUUGCUAGACCACAGACCUCUAUAUAUUAUACUUCUAGCACAAGGACAUAUUGGCAAGCCUUAGGUCAGUGUUUACAUGUCUAGGUGUGAAUCGCUAUGGUGAUCAUGUGGCGAUCUAGUCGGAGAUAGCCAAGUAUUUAUUACAUAACCACUGAAUCUGAUGAUUUCAUAUGUUUUAUUCAAUACAUCUUAUGUUACUAAUAAGCAUAUUGACCAUACUCUUCAUAUACAUGAAAAUCGGUACCAAUGUACCAAUGUCAUCGAUGGAAUUUCGCCACAAGGCACAUUUAAGAGGACUGGUUCUGUAAAGGCAUUUAUUUUUGUUUUUCUAUUUAUAAAUUCGUUAACUAUUUAUAAAUUCGUAAACUUAAAAUUAAGAUCUAGGAUAGAAAAACCUGCAUAGACACAACUUGGGUAUUUUCGAAUACUUUAUUUAGAAGAUCUUGAUAGGACAAUGAUAUAAGAUUACAGAAAAAUACCUGACGUUUCGAAGAAUUUAAAGGAUGGAAGAUAUUCAGGGUACCCUUCGGGAACAAUUUAGAUUGAUAUAGCAUAAAUUACAGUAAAGUCUGAACAUUAAAGCAUAAAGAAACAAAACCCACUACUGAUUCUGCCAGAUAUAAAGAGUACCUAGUAAAAAAAAACUUGUGUUUUAUACUAUCAAUAACAUAUAAAUGUG